rnacentral:rRNA from 1 species
AGUUGUUGCAGUUAAAAAGCUCGUAGUUGGAUUUCUGGUGGGAGCGUUGGGCCGGCCCUAAGGGUCUGAGCUCAAAUGUUUUCCGCCAUCCUUGGAGGGAUGUUGUCUGGCAUUAAGUUGUCGGGCUUCCGAUCUCCAUCGUUUACUGUGAAAAAAUUAGAGUGUUCAAAGCAGGCUUAUGCCGUUGAAUACAUUAGCAUGGAAUAAUAAGAUAGGACCCUGGUACUAUUUUGUUGGUUUGCGUACCUAGGUAAUGAUUAAUAGGGACAGUUGGGGAUAUUACUAUUUCGUUGUCAGAGGUGAAAUUCUUGGAUUUACGAAAGAGUAACUACUGCGAAAGCAUUUAUCAAGGAUGUUUUCAUUAAUCAAGAACGAAAGUUAGGGGAUCGAAGAUGAUUAGAUACCAUCGUAGUCUUAACCAUAAACUAUGCCGACUAGGGAUUGGCGGUCGUUUUUUCGACUCCGUCAGCACCUUAUGAGAAAUCAAAGUCUUUGGGUUCCGGGGGGAGUAUGGUCGCAAGGCUGAAACUUAAAGAAAUUGACGGAAAGGCACCACCAGGAGUGGAGCCUGCGGCUUAAUUUGACUCAACACGGGAAACUUACCA